CCUACGGGUGGCUGCAGUGGGGAAUAUUGCACAAUGGGCGCAAGCCUGAUGCAGCGACGCCGCGUGAGGGAUGACGGCCUUCGGGUUGUAAACCUCUGUUAGCAGGGAAGAAGAGAAAUUGACGGUACCUGCAGAGAAAGCGCCGGCUAACUACGUGCCAGCAGCCGCGGUAAUACGUAGGGCGCGAGCGUUGUCCGGAAUUAUUGGGCGUAAAGAGCUUGUAGGCGGUUUGUCGCGUCUGCUGUGAAAGGCCGGGGCUUAACCCCGUGUAUUGCAGUGGGUACGGGCAGACUAGAGUGCAGUAGGGGAGACUGGAAUUCCUGGUGUAGCGGUGGAAUGCGCAGAUAUCAGGAGGAACACCGAUGGCGAAGGCAGGUCUCUGGGCUGUAACUGACGCUGAGAAGCGAAAGCAUGGGGAGCGAACAGGAUUAGAUACCCUU
rnacentral:rRNA from 1 species